rnacentral:rRNA from 1 species
ACGAACGCUGGCGGCGUGCUUCACACAUGCCAGUCGAACGGAAAGGCCCUGCUUUUGUGGGGUGCUCGAGUGGCGAACGGGUGAGUAACACGUGAGUAACCUGCCCUUGACUUUGGGAUAACUUCAGGAAACUGGGGCUAAUACCGGAUAGGAGCUCCUGCUGCAUGGUGGGGGUUGGAAAGUUUCGGCGGUUGGGGAUGGACUCGCGGCUUAUCAGCUUGUUGGUGGGGUAGUGGCUUACCAAGGCUUUGACGGGUAGCCGGCCUGAGAGGGUGACCGGCCACAUUGGGACUGAGAUACGGCCCAGACUCCUACGGGAGGCAGCAGUGGGGAAUAUUGCACAAUGGGCGGAAGCCUGAUGCAGCAACGCCGCGUGCGGGAUGACGGCCUUCGGGUUGUAAACCGCUUUCGCCUGUGACGAAGCGUGAGUGACGGUAAUGGGUAAAGAAGCACCGGCUAGCUACGUG